AUUUUUUCUACACAACUCCUGUGGUCUGUAACAUGUUUUGUGUCAUUUCUGGCCACUUCUUACACAGACACGUGUAAAGUAACUCUAAUAGUUAGUCUACACAUUUAUGUGUAGAACUGUGAGAAAAUACAUUGUGUAAAAAUAUAUAUUUAUUCAAUGUUACUUAAAUUUGCUGGAUAAAAUAAUGGCAUUUCUGACUAGAAACAUAGAUUAUUUCCCAUGAAAGAUUAAAAAUAAAUUAAUAAAUACAAAAAUAUGCGUUAACCAAUCACAUUUCUCCUAUCAAGUAUAUCUGUGUUUCACGUUUGAUUCCCUCUUUUUGGACCAUGCAAGGAAAGGAGUAGGACUCAUCCUUAUUGGACAGAGAAACAGACGUUUUACGAGUUUUUGCAACCAUCUUUAAGAAUGGAAAAGAAAGUUCAAGGAAGAUAUAUUUUGUACAUUUACUGUUAAACUGUUUGUAAUCUUGUUUUAAUGUAUUGUCACAAAAAAAGAAUGUUAUUUAAACAUUUGUAAUAUUAUACAGUAAAAUAAAAUGGCUAUA